ensembl:lncRNA
CACGACUGAGCAACUUCACUUUCACUUUUCACUUUCAUGCACUGGAGAAGGAAAUGGCAACACACUCCAGUGUUCUUGCCUGCAGAAUCCCAGGGAUGGGGGAGCCUGGUGGGCUGCCGUCUAUGGGGUCACACAGAGUCGGACACGACUGAAGUGACUUAGCAGCAGCAGCAGCAGUACCAAUAUAAAAAGGCAGAUUCUUUACCAGCUGGCCACCAGGGAAGCUCACAGAGGGCAAGCUGCAAUUUCAUUCAUGCCUGGCACUGAUGGAAUACAUGUUCACAUUUUUGAAGGUUCUCAACUUGAAGUCUUCAUCUCAGCUGAUAAAAAAUCCAUUCUUCCAGUGGAAUCCUACCUUCACCGUAUAUCCAAAAUGUGACCACUUGUUACUACUUCCACUGUUACACUACGAUCUGGGUCACCCUCACGUCUUGCCAGGAUUAUUGUAAUAGUCUUUUAACAGGUCACUCUGCAUCUAUUCUUGUCUCCCUACAGUCAUUUUCAGAAGAACAGCUAAAGUGACCCUGUCAAAACCCAAGUUAGAUUAUGAGCCUUUCAAUGGCUCCCGUUUUAUUCACAGUGAAUGUCAGACUUCUUAGAGUCUCACAAGAGUCCCUUACCCCUCUUAAUCUCCCAACUUGUCACUGCUCCAGCCACGGUGGACUCCAUGCUGUUCCUUCAACAAUCCAGGCAACCUCUGACCUCAGAAACUUUGUUCAUGUUAUUCCCUUCACCUAGAAAAUUCUUCCCCGAAAUAUCUGCAUGCCUUAUUCACUCACUUCCUUUAAGUAUCUUGUUCAAAUAUCCUUUUUAAAUGAGUUCUACUCUGAUCCUCCCUUGUUUAUAAUUACAAUCCCC